UUUCGAUUGUCUCUUCAUAUGAUGAUGAUAUGUGAAUAUUUUUAUUGUGAAUGUUUUUAUUGCUCUCUUGUACCUUUGAUUUUUCCUUUGGAUAAUGGGAUGUCAUUUUUUUCCUUAUCAUUAUCCUUAUCUCCAAACUUCACUUCUUCAUGUAUUUUACAUUUUUAUUUUAUAUCCCCUUCAUCAUUUGAGUUAAGAAAGCAUUUAUUUUUUGAAAUUUUUUGAACUUUGUCGGUUGCAGUGACUUACAUUCCUAGUUAUCCUCAUAUUCUAGUCUUAGUUUUUUUGUAGGAUUGUCAACAACAUAAAUUUGUUCUUCAUGUCCAACAACAUGCAGUGUUUCAAUGAUGUCUGUAAUUCAAAAAUAGUUACUACCAAAUGAUGUUUCUUUGAUAGUUUAGAAGUUGAAUUUUUUAUUGAAAUAAUUAUUACUGUUAGAUUUACUUUAUCUUCCAAUCUUUGUGUUAGUGAUUUGAAGGAAGUAAACUCAAAGUAAUGGUUAUGAAUGAUAAUUUUU
rnacentral:lncRNA from 1 species